AGGACGAACGCUGGCGGCGUGCCUAACACAUGCAAGUCGAACGAGGCUUAUCCGGUAGCAAUACCGGAGACUGCCUAGUGGCGAACGGGUGAGUAGCACGUGAGCAACCUGCCCCGAAGACUGGGAUAACACCGGGAAACCGGUGCUAAUACCAGAUGCCCCCACCGGAUCGCAUGAUCUGGUGAGGAAAUGGAUUCCGCUUCGGGAGGGGCUCGCGGCCUAUCAGCUAGUUGGUGAGGUAACGGCUCACCAAGGCUUCGACGGGUAGCUGGUCUGAGAGGACGAUCAGCCACACUGGGACUGAGACACGGCCCAGACUCCUACGGGAGGCAGCAGUGGGGAAUCUUGCACAAUGGGCGAAAGCCUGAUGCAGCAACGCCGCGUGAGGGACGAAGGCUUUCUGAGUUGUAAACCUCUUUCAGCAGGGACGAUUGUGACGGUACUGCAGAAGAACGCCCGGCCAACUACGUGCCAGCAGCCG
rnacentral:rRNA from 1 species